rnacentral:rRNA from 1 species
UACGUAGGUGUCAAGCGUUGUCCGGAUUUAUUGGGCGUAAAGCGCCCGCAGGCGGCUUGCCAAGUCCGAUGUGAAAUCUCCCGGCUCAACUGGGAGGGUGCAUCGAAAACUGGCAGGCUUGAGGCAGGGAGAGGGAUGUGGAAUUCCAGGUGUAGUGGUGAAAUGCGUAGAUAUCUGAAGGAACACCAGUGGCGAAGGCGGCAUCCUGGCCCUGUCCUGACGCUCAGGGGCGAAAGCGUGGGGAGCAAACCGG